rnacentral:rRNA from 1 species
AUACGUAGGGAGCGAGCGUUGUCCGGAAUUACUGGGCGUAAAGGGUGCGUAGGCGGCAUGGCAAGUCAGAUGUGAAAUUCCCGGGCUUAACUCGGGGGGUGCAUUUGAAACUGCUGUGCUUGAGUGCAGGAGAGGAAAGCGGAAUUCCUAGUGUAGCGGUGGAAUGCGUAGAUAUUAGGAGGAACACCAGUGGCGAAGGCGGCUUUCUGGACUGUAACUGACGCUGAGGCACGAAAGCGUGGGGAGCAAACAGGAUUAGAUACCCUGGUAGUCCACGCUGUAAACGAUGGAUACUAGGUGUGGGAGAUAUACAACUUCCGUGCCGGAGCAAACGCAAUAAGUAUCCCGCCUGGGGAGUACGGUCGCAAGGCUGAA